UGAGGGAUGACGGCCUUCGGGUUGUAAACCUCUUUCAGUAGGGAAGAAGCGUAAGUGACGGUACCUGCAGAAGAAGCGCCGGCUAACUACGUGCCAGCAGCCGCGGUAAUACGUAGGGCGCAAGCGUUAUCCGGAAUUAUUGGGCGUAAAGAGCUCGUAGGCGGUUUGUCGCGUCUGCCGUGAAAGUCCGGGGCUCAACUCCGGAUCUGCGGUGGGUACGGGCAGACUAGAGUGAUGUAGGGGAGACUGGAAUUCCUGGUGUAGCGGUGAAAUGCGCAGAUAUCAGGAGGAACACCGAUGGCGAAGGCAGGUCUCUGGGCAUUAACUGACGCUGAGGAGCGAAAGCAUGGGGAGCGAACAGGAUUAGAUACCCUGGUAGUCCAUGCCGUAAACGUUGGGCACUAGGUGUGGGGGACAUUCCACGUUUUCCGUACCGUAGCUAACGCAUUAAGUGCCCCGCCUGGGGAGUACGGGCGCAAGGCUA
rnacentral:rRNA from 1 species